rnacentral:lncRNA from 1 species
CAAAAUAAACAAGUACUAUUGUAUUAUCGUUAUUUUCCUUAUAUAAGAAAACUCAACAUAACGCGUUUUGGUUGCCUGCUGUCAGUCAAGCUAAUAGACUAUCAGGAAAAAGAAUCCAGAAACAAUCGUAGAAUAUACUGCACGCAUUUGGACAACGUGCUGUUCUGCAGAUACAGUGUCUCCCUGGACACAAAAGGAGCAAACCGAGAAUAAUCACUUGAUCAGAGCAUCAAACAGAACCAGAUAUUUCUUCUCCACGAACACGUAUGGUCCAAGCUUAGCUAGAGACGCACACGCACUCUGAAAUUUUCAGACAAAGACAACUAAUUUUAUAUGAAAUCCUGCGCGUUUGACAUCCACUUAAAAAAGCUUUUGCUCAUGAUUUUGUCCUUUGCACAAUCUGAAGAGGCAUGUCGUUUUUGCUGCCUCCGGUGGAGAUGGAGUGGAUGCCCCAAUAAACAGUCGCCAAUUUGGUUAGGCCAUCAAGGCCGCCGCCGACCGAUCGACGUCAACAACACACCGGACCUGAUAGGGCGGGCAUGCGUUGAUCCAGGUGUCCAUCCAUCUCUGGCCUGAAUCAGUGGCUUUGGCACUACAAGCGGCUCAUUUAGUGGCUAAUAAUUCUUGUUUCAUGUUGUAAAAAGUUCAGAGUGGGGGCUGCGUGUCCACCUGUACCUUCAGGCUGAAAUGGCGGCCGAGUGCGUGACCGACCAGGGGGUCCUUUCAAGCUACCUGCAACAAGCACCCGCAGACGCACGCGCGCACGAAUCAGCUCGGAAAUAUCUAUACAGAAAAGAAGAAGAGGAAAAUCAGUUUUGUAUGGGCUCAUUUGAUUUGCAGAAUUCUAAAAACCUAGGAAUAAAAAACACAUAAAUAUGAUAGAAAUGCAUGUACAAAACGGAGGGAUUCUAUAAACUUUCAUGUUUAAUUCACAGGAAUAAGAAAAAUACAAAAAUCCUACUCCCUUCGAUCCAAACUGUUAAGGAUUAAUUAAAUCCUAAUAAUCAAUGCUUAGGUCGGUUGUUUAGUUUAAUGUAAUUACCGCCUCUGUACAUGGGUAUAAAUACCCUAUUCUUCAGUCAGUGCAGUUACUGUUCAAUCCAUUCGUUCCUCUCUCUCUUUUUCUUCUUUACACGUUAUCAACACUUUGCCCUAACCUGGAGCGAGCGAUUAGGCCACCCACAUCAAUCCGUCACCGGCGACGUCCUUGAUGCCCGAGAGGCAGCAAGGUUUCUCCGACACGACCGGAUGCCCAGCGUUCCUUGACGCAUCUCGUUGUCCCCGGCGGCAGCCCACGCCCUCCGGCGCGUGGUGCGAGCACGCCGCACCCUGCAGAGCGGCACGGCGGCGCAGGUCUCCAGACGGCGCGUGGUCGCGUGGCCUCGACCUCCCGCAUCAGCCGGAGGCGUUCGCGGCACAGGCGCAGGCG